rnacentral:rRNA from 1 species
GGUGGGGGACACUGUUGGGACCGCCUCUGCUAAAGAGGAGGAAGGAAAUGGGCAACGGUAGGUCAGCAUGCCCCGAAUUAUCUGGGCUACACGCGGGCUACAAUGGGUGGGACAAUGGGUAUCGACACCGAAAGGUGAAGGCAAUCUCCUAAACCCAUCCGUAGUUCGGAUUGUGGGCUGCAACUCGCCCACAUGAAGCUGGAAUCUGUAGUAAUCGUGUCUCAAAAUGGCACGGUGAAUAUGUCCCUGCUCCUU